AUGGUCGCCAUGGAAGGAGGUGGUGGAGGGAGGCUGCUGCUCCGCGUUCUCAUCGUCUGCGCUGGGGCGCUGAUGGCGGCCGCUGCGGAGGGAGGCGGCGGCGGCGGCGGGGACACGUCGGUCGUCUUCGUCGUCGGCAUGGCCCAGUGCGCCGGCUGCGGGAGGAAGAGCUUGGGCGCCGAGGCGGCGUUCAGGGGCCUCAAGGUCGCCAUCACGUGCAAGAACGAGAGCAAGGCCGUCGCCAGCCUCGACGGCACGGGCGCGUUCGAGGUGCUCCUCCCGGCCGACGCCGGCGCCUCCGAGUGCCUCGCGCAGCUCCAGAGCGCGGCGAGCGGCGCGCCGUGCCCCGGGCAGGAGCCGUCGAGGAUCGUGCCGCUGCUGGCCGAGGGCACCUUCGUCGCCGUCGCUGGCAAGGCGGCGCGAGGUGGGACGUCGGCGGCGCCCGAGUGCGCGGCGGCCAACAUCUGCUUCCCGUGCCACGCGUUCGGCAGGAAGCCCUUGUUCGCGCACCGGCGCAUGAAGCCCAUGCCGGUGUACGCUCCGCCCGUGUACGGGACGCCGGUGCCGGCGUGCCUUUGCACCCCUACCCCGGCCCCGGGGUGCCAGUGCCCUUCUGCCAUGCCGGUUUACGGGACGCCCGUGCCGGAAUACUACCCGCCUCCAGCCCCGGAGUACGGGACGGCGACGCCGGUGUAUGCUCCGCCAGUGUACGGGACGGCGACGCCGGUGUAUGCUCCGCCCACCGUGCCCGUGUACGGUACGCCGACGCCCGUGUAUGCUCCACCGGUGUACGGGACGCCGACGCCCGUGUAUGCUCCGCCCACGGCGCCCGUGUACGGGACGCCGACGCCGGAUUGCCCUCCUGAGGCGCCAGAGUACGGGACGCCGACGCCCGUGUAUGCUCCGCCCACGGCGCCCGUGUACGGGACGCCGACGCCGGACUGCCCUCCCGAGGCGCCGGAGUACGGGACGCCGACGCCGGUGUACGCUCCGCCCACGGCGUCGAGAUGCCUGUGCACGCCUACUCCAGAGCCGGGAUGCCAAUGCCCUUCCACGAAGCCGGCGUACGGGACGCCGACGCCGGUGUACGCUCCGCCCACGGCGCCGAGAUGCCUGUGCACCCCGACCCCGGAGCCGGGAUGCCAGUGCCCCACUCCAACCCCCACGCCGGUCUACGUGGCGCCGCCGACGCCGCAGCUCCCUCCCCCCACGCCGGUGUACGGGACUCCAUCGCCGGUAUACGCUCCACCCACGGCGCCGGUGUACGGGACUCCAUCGCCGGUAUACGCUCCACCGACGGCGCCCGUGUACGGUACUCCAUCCCCGAGAUGCCUCUGCACCCCGACCCCCGCGCCGGGGUGCGAGUGCCCUGCUCCCACCCCCACGCCAGUCUACGGCACGCCAGCACCGACGACGUACCCUCCUGCCGCUCCGGCGUACCCACGGCCGGCGCCGGAGUACGGAGCGCCGCCGGCGCCAGAGUGCCCGCCAGAGUACGGCACGCCCAUCUACACUCCUCCGGGCCACCAGUAG
rnacentral:rRNA from 1 species